rnacentral:rRNA from 1 species
UAGGGAAUCUUCGGCAAUGGGGGGAACCCUGACCGAGCAACGCCGCGUGAGUGAAGAAGGUUUUCGGAUCGUAAAGCUCUGUUGUUAAGGAAGAACGAGUGUGAGAAUGGAAAGUUCAUACUGUGACGGUACUUAACCAGAAAGGGACGGCUAACUACGUGCCAGCAGCCGCGGUAAUACGUAGGUCCCGAGCGUUGUCCGGAUUUAUUGGGCGUAAAGCGAGCGCAGGUGGUUAGAUAAGUCUGAAGUUAAAGGCAGUGGCUCAACCAUUGUAGGCUUUGGAAACUGUUUAACUUGAGUGCAGAAGGGGAGAGUGGAAUUCCAUGUGUAGCGGUGAAAUGCGUAGAUAUAUGGAGGAACACCGGUGGCGAAAGCGGCUCUCUGGUCUGUAACUGACGCUGAGGCUCGAAAGCGUGGGGAGCGAACAGGAUUAGAUACCCUGGUAGUCCACGCCGUAAACGAUGAGUGCUAGGUGUUAGGUCCUUUCCGGGGCUUAGUGCCGCAGCUAACGCAUUAAGCACUCCGCCUGGGGAGUACGACCGCAAGGUUG